AAGACAGGACAGUCAGCUAGAUGGACCACUGGUCUGACUCGAGAGACCUGCCUAGGUGGGGGAAAACGCUGCGUCCUAGUGCACUCUCUCCCUCUGUGCAAUUGCUUGAGAUAAUAAAGUGUAUCUGACUUGCUGCACCCAACCUGAGAGUGAGAACUGUGUUUUUCUCCGACAGAAUCCAGGGAAGAGCAUUUUCCCUUCACAAGUGCUGUCUCGUUCUGCAUGUGUUUCAAUGAUCACAGGAUCUUCUCCUUACCAAAGGCUACUGAAGAUUAGAA